UACGUAGGGUGCGAGCGUUGUCCGGAAUUAUUGGGCGUAAAGGGCUCGUAGGCGGUCCGUCGCGUCGGGAGUGAAAACUCAGGGCUCAACCCUGAGCGUGCUUCCGAUACGGGCGGACUAGAGGUAUGCAGGGGAGAACGGAAUUCCUGGUGUAGCGGUGGAAUGCGCAGAUAUCAGGAGGAACACCGGUGGCGAAGGCGGUUCUCUGGGCAUUACCUGACGCUGAGGAGCGAAAGCAUGGGGAGCGAACAGG
rnacentral:rRNA from 1 species